rnacentral:rRNA from 1 species
AGCUCCAACAGUGUAUGCUAAAGUUGUUGCGGUUGAAAAGCUCGUAGUUGGAUAUUGGGCGGGCGCGGUCGGUCCGUCGCAGGGCGUGCACUGGUCGCGUUCGCCUCGGCUUCGGUUCUCCGUCGGUGCUCUUGACUGAGUGUCGGCGGUGGCCGAGAAGUUUACUUUGAAAAAAUUAGAGUGUUCAAAGCAGGCUGGUCGCCUGAAUAGUGUUGCAUGGAAUAAUGGAAUAGGACCUCGGUUCUAUUUUGUUGGUUUUCUGAACGGAGGUAAUGAUUAAGAGGGACAGACGGGGGCGUCCGUACUCUGCCGUUAGAGGUGAAAUUCUUGGAUCGGCGGAAGACGAACUACUGCGAAAGCAUUCGCCAAGAAUGUUUUCUUUAAUCAAGAACGAAAGUAC